rnacentral:rRNA from 1 species
AGAUCUUGGUGGUAGUAGCAAAUACUCAAAUGAGAACUUUGAGGACUGAAGUGGGGAAAGGUUCCGUGUGAACAGCAGUUGGACACGGGUUAGUCGAUCCUAAGCCAUAGGGAAACUCCGUUUUAAAGUGCGCACUUGUGCGUCGCCCGGCGAAAGGGAAGCCGGUUAACAUUCCGGCACCUGGAUGUGGAUUCUCCACGGCAACGUAACUGAAAGCGAAGACGACGGCGGGGGCCCUGGGAAGAGUUCUCUUUUCUUCUUAACGGCCCGUCACCCUGAAAUCGGUUUGUCCGGAGCUAGGGUUUAAUGGCCGGUAGAGUCCCACACCUUUGUGGGAUCCGGUGCGCCCCCGACGUCCCUUGAAAAUUCGCUGGAAGGAAUAGUUUUCACGCCAGGUCGUACUCAUAACCGCAGCAGGUCUCCAAGGUGAAAAGCCUCUAGUUGAUAGAACAAUGUAGAUAAGGGAA